rnacentral:rRNA from 1 species
AUUGAACGCUGGCGGCAGGCCUAACACAUGCAAGUCGAGCGAGCGGCGGACGGGUGUGUAAUGUCUGGGGAACUGCCUGAUGGAGGGGGAUAACUACUGGAAACGGUAUCUAAUACCCCAUACCAUCAGAUGUGCCCAGAUGGGAUUAGCUAGUAGGUGGGGUAAUGGCUCACCAAGGCGACGAUCCCUCGCUGGUCUGAGAGGAGGACCAGCCACACUGGAACUGAGACACGGGCCAGACUCCUACGGGAGGCAGCAGUGGGGAAUAUUGCACAAUGGGCGCAAGCCUGAUGCAGCCAUGCCGCGUGUAUGAAGAAGGCCUUCGGGUUGUAAAGCACUUUCGGCGGGGAGGCGUUACCCGCAGAAGAAGCACCGGCUAACUCCGUGCCAGCCGCCGCGGUAAUAC